rnacentral:pre_miRNA from 1 species
ACAGGGCUGCACCGAUUUCACCAAAGACUUGGAAGUGAUUUUUGAUGCAGCCCCAGCC